rnacentral:rRNA from 1 species
GUGAGACAGUUCGGUCCCUAUCUGGUGUGGGCGUUGGAUGAUUGAUGGGAGCUGCUCCUAGUACGAGAGGACCGGAGUGGACGAACCGCUGGUGUUCGGGUUGUCAUGCCAAUGGCAUUGCCCGGUAGCUAUGUUCGGAACGGAUAACCGCUGAAAGCAUCUAAGCGGGAAGCCGGCCCAAAGAUGAGUCAUCCCUGAACUUUAAGUUCUGGAAGGGUUGUUAUAGACGAUGACGUUGAUAGGCAGGGUGUGGAAGCGUUGUAAGGCGUUAAGCUAACCUGUACUAAUUGCCCGAGAGGCUU